CAGGUCACCCUGGGCUCUAACAGCCGGUGUGGGCUCUGCCAAGCUCUCUCUGUCCUCAGCUUCUCUCUGGUGUUCCAGAUACAACCUUUCAGUCAGCAUGAGUCCCAAGGGAAGAUGACUUGGAGCGGAGCCUCAGCGCAUCCACAAUGGUCGUAGGGCAUCAAUAUAUGAGGGAUAACGUGGUGAGGAAACAAGACCUGUAGAGAUUAAGGAACUUUAGACCUGAGUUUAACCAGCUUUGAGACCUGGGCCUGAGUCUGUCUAAGGCUGAGGCUCUUGCCUCAUGUUGGAAAACCAGCUACAUUGGAAAACCUCCUGCAUAUCCUCCACAGCAUUUGUGAUCUCUUCCCUGAGCUCACAGAAGCACCCAGCAAAUGCUUACAAAUGACU
rnacentral:lncRNA from 10 species